GUUGUGGUUAAAGCUCGUAGUUGAACCUUGGGCCUGGCCGGCCGGUCCGCCUCACCGCGUGCACUGGUCCGGCCGGGCCUUUCCCUCUGUGGAACCCCAUACCCUUCACUGGGCGUGGCGGGGAAACAGGACAUUUACUUUGAAAAAAUUAGAGUGCUCCAGGCAGGCCUAUGCUCGAAUACAUUAGCAUGGAAUAAUAAAAUAGGACGCGCGGUUCUAUUUUGUUGGUUUAUAGGACCGCCGUAAUGAUUAAUAGGGACAGUCGGGGGCAUCAGUAUUCAACUGUCAGAGGUGAAAUUCUUGGAUCAGUUGAAGACUAACUACUGCGAAAGCAUUUGCCAAGGAUGUUUUCAUUAAUCAGGAACGAAAGUUAGGGGAUCGAAGACGAUCAGAUACCGUCGUAGUCUUAACCAUAAACUAUGCCGACUAGGGAUCGGACGGUGUUAUUCAUGACCCGUUCGGCACCUUACGAGAAAUCAAAGUGCUUGGGCUCCAGGGGGAGUAUGGUCGCAAGGCUGAAACUUAAAGAAAUUGACGGAAGGGCACCACCAGGGGUGGAGCCUGCGGCUUAAUUUGACUCAACACGGGGAAACUCACCAGGUCCAGACACAAUAAGGAUUGACAGAUUGAGAGCUCUUUCUUGAUUUUGUGGGUGGUGGUGCAUGGCCGUUCUUAGUUGGUGGGGUGACUUGUCUGCUUAAUUGCGAUAACGAACGAGACCUUAACCUGCUAAAUAGCCCGCAUUGCUCCGGCAGUGCGCUGGCUUCUUAGAGGGACUUUCGGCUCAGCCGACGAGUUUGAGCAUAACAGUCUGUGAUGCCCUUAGAUGUCUGGGCGCACGCGCGCUACACUGAC
rnacentral:rRNA from 1 species